rfam:Hordeum vulgare subsp. vulgare, WGS project CAJW01000000 data, contig: morex_contig_54086
GUUGUACUCCCUCCGUCCGGAAUUACUUGCCAUAAAAGUGGAUAAUAAUAGAUGUAUCUAAAAAUAAAAUACAUCUAGAUACAUCCAUUAUUAUCCAUUUUUCGGACAAGUAUUUUCGGACGGAGGGAGUAAUAU